CACCUUUCCCUGCUCUGAUUCCCCUUUGGCUAGAAAAAGGACAGGCAAUGCCUCUUUUCAAAAUAACAUCUAAUAACCUAAUUUCCAAGAUGCUGUAUGUUGUUUCCACCCUAUGGGAAGUCCUAUUAUUUUUUUCCGUCUUAAUGUUCCAGAUAUGUUUUAAAAUAUGAUUGUUAAUGUUUUCAUGCAGUGCCAGCAUUUCAGUAAAAGAGUGUAGGUAUACUGCUUUGCUCCUGGUAUUUUUACUAUUUCUGAUUAUGUACAGAGAGACACAGGCUGCUAGAUCUUUGCCAUGUUGAUGCAAUUAAUACCUGCACUCGCUUUAUUGCUGUUAAGUUCUAAUAAAGGUGGAAUUUUGGGUCUGGAUGUCUCCUUUCAUGUUGGGAAGGAAGGUGAUGUUCUGGCAAAGGCAUAAAGCGGGAGCAAAAGAUAAGUCAUCUGUUCCUGCCUCACUGAUUUCCUGCAUGCUUUUGAAAGGCUAGCUGAAGUCAAAUAAAAAAUCCUUUCUAAUUUUUGUGAGCAACAACUUACUUUGAUAACCUGUUGGCUUCAGUAAAACUGCAUAGUUCAUUAUUGCUAGCUCUCACCCUUUUGUCUAUGAUACCUCUUUUAAAAAUGUUUCUUACUAUACAUGAGAUAAUAAGUAAAUAACAUAUUUACAUUGGAUUCAAGUAUUUAAAUAUCUUUCUCUUACAGAGUCUCCGGAGGGCAAGAUGCAAAAUGCAACUCUAAAAACCUCUAGGCAUAUGGAAAACCCAAACUGGGAAUCCCUUGUCACUGAAGUAGGAGGAAAAAUGAUUAUCAUCUCAGACUUUUUUCUACCAUUUAAGUUACUGCAUCUGCAUCACAACACCAGCAAUUCAUAUGGCAUCAUUAUAUAUUGAUUGAAAAAAUGAGUGAAGCAUUAGGAAUAUGGGAAUGAUCUUGGCUCACAGGUCAGUAUGUGAGAUACCUAUUUUAUAUUUUCAAUCUCUAAUUCACUUCCGCUCCACCACUGCCCUUAGUUCUAAAGAAUUCUAAGAUCUAAAUAUGUGUUACCUAGACUAUGCUUUUAGAUUUCCCUUUUAAAAACUGGUGAAUGUGUAACUUUAUUACGUUCUUUGUCUGAAGAGCAGAAGAUGGAAUGUUAGCAUCCAUUUCUCCUGAAUUGAAGCAAAACUUGAAACUUUAAUUACUGAU
rnacentral:lncRNA from 1 species